rnacentral:rRNA from 1 species
GGUGAACCUGCGGAAGGAUCAUUGUCG